rnacentral:rRNA from 1 species
GACGAACGCUGGCGGCGUGCUAACACCUGCAAGUCGAACGGAAAGGCCCUGCUUUUGUGGGGUGCUCGAGUGGCGAACGGGUGAGUAACACGUGAGUAACCUGCCCUUGACUUUGGGAUAACUUCAGGAAACUGGGGCUAAUACCGGAUAGGAGCUCCUGCUGCAUGGUGGGGGUUGGAAAGUUUCGGCGGUUGGGGAUGGACUCGCGGCUUAUCAGCUUGUUGGUGGGGUAGUGGCUUACCAAGGCUUUGACGGGUAGCCGGCCUGAGAGGGUGACCGGCCGCAUUGGGACUGAGAUACGGCCCAGACUCCUACGGGAGGCAGCAGUGGGGAAUAUUGCACAAUGGGCGGAAGCCUGAUGCAGCAACGCCGCGUGCGGGAUGACGGCCUUCGGGUUGUAAACCGCUUUCGCCUGUGACGAAGCGUGAGUGACGGUAAUGGGUAAAGAAGCACCGGCUAACUACGUG